CUGCCUGAAGCCUGUCUGGUAGGCAAUAUAGGUGGUACAGAAUCCAAGGAGUUAGUACACUGAGGGAGAAUUUGAUCCAAAAUGGGGAAGUAUUGCAUGAAUUCUUAAAAUCAUACUUUUCUCUUGUUUUCUAUAGGUAGGCUGGGGAUAUUUUUAUAAUCCUCCCACUGACCUGCCAAAUCACAGAAAGGAGUUACUCAGUGUCUCCUUUCCAUUGAAUCUUUUGCUGCAUGCAAACUUUCAUCUUCUGUGUUUUGCUAGGCUUCCUUUCAAAGGUAGAACCAAGAACAUGAUGAUACUGUUUAUGAGCAUGCUGUUCCGCCCAUAAACUUGACAUAGGAAACUGGCCUGCCUGGUCAUCAGGUUAAAAGAAUGGAGUGUACUGGAGUCAGGAAAGCUCAGUGUUGGUUGGAAGUGAAGUCACCAGCAUUGCAUUUCUCCACCAGUCACAACUGAUAAGUUCAAAACAACAUCAGGAGGCAACUACUAAGAAUAGAAAGUACCGUCUCUGCCAUGAUAAAUCACCUCCAGGAAAACCGGUUUAUCCCAGCUCAAGGUGGCCACAAAACCAACAUUCCAG